AAUGAACGCUGGCGGCAUGGAUUAGGCAUGCAAGUCGAACGGGACACCCUCGGGUGUCUAGUGGCGAAAGGGUGAGUAACACGUGAGCAACCUGCCCCCGAGUCUGGAAUAAGCGAUGGAAACGUCGUCUAAUACCGGAUGAGGACUGGGGUCUCCUGACUCCAACUCCAAAGAUUUAUCGCUUGGGGAUGGGCUCGCGUCCCAUUAGCUAGUUGGCGGGGUAAUGGCCCACCAAGGCUGUGACGGGUAGGUGGACUGAGAGGUUGGUCACCCACACUGGGACUGAGACACUGCCCAGACUCCUACGGGAGGCUGCAGUCGAGAAUCUUCCGCAAUGGGCGCAAGCCUGACGGAGCGAUGCCGCGUGAGGGAAGAAGGCCUUCGGGUUGUAAACCUCUGUCACCCGGGACGAAAACAAUGACGGUACCGGGAGAGGAAGUCACGGCUAACUACGUGCCAGCAGCCGCGGUAAUACGUAGGUGGCGAGCGUUAUUCGGAUUCACUGGGCGUAAAGGGUCCGCAGGGGGCCUGCCAAGUCUGUCGUGAAAUCCCGGGGCUCAACCCCGGGUCUGCGGUGGAAACAGGCGGGCUGGAGUGUGUGAGGGGUAGACGGAACACCUGGUGUAGCGGUGGAAUGCGUGGAUAUCAGGUGGAACACCGAUGGCGAAGGCGGUCUACUGGCACACAACUGACCCUCAGGGACGAAAGCGUGGGUAGCAAACAGGAUUAGAUACCCUGGUAGUCCACGCUGUAAACGUUGAGAACCAGAUAUGGUGGGGCUGGCCCCCUCCGUGUCCAAGCUAACGCGAUAAGUUCUCCGCCUGGGGACUACGGCCGCAAGGCUAAAACUCAAAGGAAUUGACGGGGGCCCGCACAAGCGGUGGAGCAUGUUGCUUAAUUCGAGGCAACGCGAAGAACCUUACCCAGGUUUGACAUGCAUAUGACCGGUGGUGAAAGCCGCCUUCCCUUCGGGGCAUAUGGACAGAUGCUGCAAGGCUGUCGUCAGCUCGUGCCGUGAGGUGUUCGGUUAAGUCCGGCAACGAGCGCAACCCGUGCCGUCAGUUACCAUCAGGUAAAGCUGGGGACUCUGGCGGGACCGCCCGUGUCAAGCGGGAGGAAGGCGCGGAUGACGUCAAGUCCGUAUGGCUCUUACGCCUGGGGCUGCAAACGUGCUACAAUGGCCGGUACAAAGGGGAGCGAGUCCGCGAGGCCAAGCGAAUCCUCAAAACCGGCCCCAGUUCGGAUCGCAGUCUGCAACUCGACUGCGUGAAGCCGGAAUCGCUAGUAAAGGGGCAUCAGCAACGGCCCCUUGAAUACGUUCCCGGGCCUUGUACACACCGCCCGUCACAUCAUGGGAGCCGGCCCCACCCGAAGCCGCCGAGCCAACCAGCAAUGGGGGCAGGCGUCGAAGGUGGGUCUGGUGACUGGGAUGAAGUCGUAACAAGGUAACCAAUCGAA
rnacentral:rRNA from 1 species